GUGCUUGCUUCUGCAGCACAUAUACCAAAAAUUGGAAUGAUACAGAGAUUAUUAGCAUGGCCUCUGCGCAAGGUUAACGCAAAUUUGUAAAGUGUUCCAUAUUUUU